AACUCAAAGGAAUUGACGGGGGCCCGCACAAGCGGAGGAACAUGUGGUUUAAUUCGAUGAUACGCGAGGAACCUUACCCGGGCUUGAAUUGCGACUGACUGCAUCAGAGAUGAUGUUUCCAGCAAUGGCAGUCGUGAAGGUGCUGCAUGGUUGUCGUCAGCUCGUGCCGUGAGGUGUCGGCUUAAGUGCCAUAACGAGCGCAACCCUUUUCCCUGUUUGCCAUCGGGUAAUGCCGGGCACUCCAGGGAUACUGCCAUCGUAAGAUGUGAGGAAGGUGGGGAUGACGUCAAAUCAGCACGGCCCUUACGUCCGGGGCUACACACGUGUUACAAUGGGCGGCACAGAGGGCAGCGACCGCGCGAGCGGCAGCCAAUCCCGAAAUCCGCUCUCAGUUCGGACUGGAGUCUGCAACCCGACUCCACGAAGCUGGAUUCGCUAGUAAUCGCGCAUCAGCCAUGGCGCGGUGAAUACGUUCCCGGGCCUUGUACACACCGCCCGUC
rnacentral:rRNA from 1 species